CGUUUCCGGGACACCGUUUCUCUUAAAGAGCCGGAUAUCUUUUGUGGCCGCGCGUCUUCUUUCACAAGUCGCCGACGCAGCGCGAUUCAAUUCGUUGUACUCGGGAGGUGGAGAAGGGAAGGCGGAGGACCGAAAGUUAGCUUAGACAUUUAAGCGUCAUUCUUCUUUCGUUUUUCAUCUUUGAUGACCUCGAUAUCUGCUUCAAGAGCACUGAUCAGCUUAAGACUAGAACUCUGAUCUCUGAUCUUGAUUCUCUCUGAUCUCGCUUUGAAGCGAUCUCUAUCUCUAGAUCUUUGAUCGAUGGCGAAUAUAGAAUCGACGGGAUCUUGAAGGAGUUGCCGAAGACGAAGAUAGUGUGCGCACUGGGGCCGGCAUCCAGAUCGGUGGCGAUGCUGGAGAAGCUGCUGAGAUCUGGCACGAACGUCGCCAGGUUCAACUUCAUGAGUACCACCAGGAGAGCAUCGACAACCUAGGAUCGCUGUGCAGAACUCUGGAAUCCUGUGUGCCGUCAUGCUCGACAACUUCAUGGGUCUAUUUCUUCAUUUUACUUGGUUGAGAACCAGGAGGGUGUAAUGAACUUGGAUCAAAUUUUGAAGGAGACCGAUUCUUUCGUGGUUGCUCGAGGAGAUGUUGGAAUUGACAAGACUUUCCUUGCUCAAAAGACGAUUCAUUCGUGGGAAGCUCGGACAUGGCAGUUUCAGUGGCAUAGCCGUGUUCGACAUGUGUCGGACACGAAUUCGUCAUCGACUCGAUCGAACACAUGUCGGACACGUGUUCAAUCGUAAUUUUGAUGGAUACACAGCACGGCAAGUCGGAUUCCUCAGCGCGAGCGGACUGCGAAGGCCUCUUGAAACCUCUGGAAUCCUUCUUCCUCAUGGAUUCAGGAGGAUUUCUUCCCUUUUACGAAUGGAUCGUCGGCGUUCAAUACCCCACCUGCGUCUUGAGCUGCCCCGACCGACCUUUCUGCUUCAUCGGCUUCCCUUCUUACUCAACGCCGAUGCCUCUGCCCCCGCCCCACCUGUGGAAGAGGCGGGCCCUGCCCCACCUACGGCGCGUCCACCGGUGUCCCGUCAGCAUCCUCUGCCCCCCGCACUUCGGUGGCCCACCUGCGUCACCGAUGAAGCCUCUGGCAUAGUCGCGCUGUCGGGCCCUCCGCCCCGAGCCCCCCUCUGCCGUCGUGCUCUCCACCCCGAGUGACCCACCAGUGACCCGGCGGCUAUCGCGCGCUCUCGGGCCCUCGACGACUUCACCAGCAUCCGGCGAAGCUUCUUCCUCAGCCGUGUGGCUUAGUCGCAAGGUAAAUUAAAUUAAUUUUGUUUAGAUUUUUUGCUGCAAAAAAAUAGACUUAUUUUGAUUAUUAACAUAUUAUUAACCUUAUUUUAUUUUUUUAGUAGUUAAAUUGAAAACAUAUUAUUCUA